CCUGGUCGAUCUUGCUAGUAGUCAUAUGCUUGUCUCAAAGAUUAAGCCAUGCAUGUCUAAGUAUGAACUAAUUUAGACUAUGAAACUACGAAUGGCUCAUUCAAUCAGUUAUAGUUUGAUUGAUUGUAUCUAUUACUCGAAUAACCAUAGUAAUUCUAGAGUUAAUACGUGCAACAAAUCUUAACUUCCAGAAUGGAUGCAUUUAUUAGAUAAAAGGUUAAUACGGGGCUUUGCCCAUUGCUCUGAUGAUUCAUGAUAACUUGACAAAUCAUACGGCCUUUGAGCUGGCGAUGCAUCAUUCAAAUUUCUACCCUAUCAACUUUCAAUGGUAGGAUAGUGGCCUACUAUGGUGGUGACAAGUGAUGGAUAAUUAAGGUUUAAUUCUCAAAAUAGAGCUUGAGAAAUGGCUACCUUACCCAAGGAAAGCAACAGGCAUGCAAAUUACCCAAUCUUGACAUAGGGAGGUAGUGACAAUAAAUAACAAUACCAAGCUCUAUGAGUGUGGUAAUUAAAAUGAGUACAAUUUAAAUCCCUUAACAAGGAUCCAUUAGAGGGCAAGUCUAGUGCCAACAGUCAUGGUAAUUCUAGCUCUAAUAGCAUAUAUUUAAGUUAUUUCAAUUAAAAAGCUCAUAGAUGGCACUAGGGUUGGUUGUCUGGUUUGCCUUACAAUGAGCACUGGUCUACUUGUCCCUACUACUGAUAAUGUGCUAUUGGCCUUAAUUGGUUGGGUUGUUCCUCUAGUGAUGUUACUUUGAAGAAAUUAGAAUGCUUAAAGUAGUCCUACACUUGUAUACACUAGCAUGGGAUAAUAUCAGAGAUUUUGGUCCUAUUGUGUUAGCCUUCAGGAUUGGAGUAAUGAUUAACAGGGAUAGUCAAAGGCAUUCAUAUUUCAUAAUCAGAGGUGAAAUUCUUAGAUUAUUAAAAGAUAAACAACUACAAAAGCAAUUGCCAAGGAUGUUUUCAUUAAUCAAGAAUAAAAGUUGAGGCCUAGAAGAUGAUCAAAUACCAUCCUAGUCUUAAUUAUAAAUGAUGUCGACUAAGGGUCAAUGGAUGUUACCUUUAAGACUCUGCUAACACCUUAUGAGAAAUCAAAGUCUUUAGGUUUUGAAGGGAGUAUGGUCACAAGGCCGAAACUUAAAGGAAUUAGUGGAACAGCACCACCAAGAGUAGAGCUUAUGGCUUAAUUUGACUUAACAAAGGAAAGCUUACCAGGUCCAAACAUAGUAAGGAUUGACAGACUGAGUGCUCUUUCUUGAUUCUAUGGAUGGUGGUGUAUAGCUACUCUUAGUUAGUGGAGCGAUUUGUCUAGUUAAUUCUAGUAAUGAAUGAGACCUCGGCCCACUAACGAGUUACACUAAGGUGAUCUUUCAUGGCUAGCUUUUAAAGGUAUUAUGGCCGCUUAGGCCAAGGAAGUUUGAGGCAAUAAUAGGUUUGUGAUGCCCUUAGUCAUUUAGGUUACAUGUACACUACAUUGAUCUAUUCAACGAGUUUAUAACCUUGGUCGAUAGGCCCGAGUAAUCUUUAAAAUUUCAUCAUAAUAGGGAUAGAUCUUUGUAAUUGUUGGUCUUUAAUAAGGAAUUCUUAAUAAGCAUGAGUCAUCAACUAGCAUUGACUGUAUCCCUACCUUUUGUACAUACUGCCCGUCACUCCUACCGAUUGAAUGGUCUAGUGAAUUGUUCAAAUUAUGGUGAAAUGCACGAUUUGCUGCCCAUGACAUCAUAAGAAGUCCACUGAACCUUAUCAUUUAAAAGAAGGAAAAGUCAU
rnacentral:rRNA from 1 species